rnacentral:tRNA from 1 species
AAGAGAGUAGUUAAAUGGUAGAAUAAUGAUCUCCAAAAUCAUAGGUAAAGGUUCGACUCCUUUCUCUCUUG